rnacentral:lncRNA from 1 species
UGGGACAACAUUCUUUGAGAAAGGUGUAAAAAAAUUGUGCUUGGGCUAAUGAGCCCUAACUGACAAAAGAGUCUAAGGUUAACCUAAUCCGGCAGAGCCCUUGAUCCGAACAGGCAAAGGAAGAGAAAUCAGCAAAGGUUACUGAACAAGGUACUUAUAUGAUAAUAUCUUAUAAUUUUUGUAUCAUGACACUAUAUCUGGGUAUUAGAUAUCGAAGUCUAUGUAAGUUGUUGCAAUGACUUCAGGUUAGUAGAAAGAUUGAAAACAGCAAGAGGUUCCUAAACAUUAGAGAUGGAAG